rnacentral:lncRNA from 1 species
UUCCGAGUUCCUUGCAUACAUAUAUCAACAGAUGAUGGUAAAUAUAAUAUAUAUUGUCUUGAACAGAGGAAUUGAAUUUGCAAGAAACAAGAAACAAAAAAGAAAAACAGAGAGAUUAAAUGGAUGAAUAAACUACUACAAGCUACAAGCCCAAGAUCAGAUCAGAUCAGAUCAGAGGCGGCGACAAAAUAAAGAAAUUAGAAGAAACAAAAACACAAACUUGCAAGUUUUACAUUAACAUCAAAACCAUCAAAACCAUCAAAACCAAACACACACACACACACACACACACACACACAGGUACGAGAAAAGAAAAGUACUAGUACUAGGAGUACAAAAUAAAAGAUAGCAAGCAAGCUAGGAA